CAUUUAGAGGAAGUAAAAGUCGUAACAAGGUUUCCGUAGGUGAAGGUUUGCCUACCAAAGCCCUUAGCCAGCGACUCUAAAGAAAUCAGCUAUCAGUCGCCCCUUCGGGGGCUGGCGACGCCAUCAAUCUGUGUCUGGGAGUACGCCCCGCCAAGGGGGCUACCACCAGCAGCUCGUUGCACUUCGAGUUCACAGGUCAAACGAUAGCGGCCACUUCGGUGGUUGAGAUAUGAUCGGCCUCCAGCGCCACCUAGCUGGGGAAUUUUGCGGAACCUGCGGAAGGAUCAUUAAUGAGUUCGGGGGCCUAG
rnacentral:ncRNA from 11 species